CGCUGCUGUAAGGGAGUAUAUGAAGAGUAUGUCCGCUGCAGUGAGUGAGUCCUCAACUAAAUCGAGCGAUUUGAUCUUCUUUGUUUUUAGUCGAGCACCGCGUUUGGGGUGUGGUGCAUCAAUGCUUAAAUUUCUUUCUUUCACUUGGUCAGAUGCAAUGCGCUGGGCUCGACUAUCAUUUUGCUGCUCUUCUCUGUGUGUUGAGG
rnacentral:lncRNA from 1 species